rnacentral:rRNA from 1 species
CCUACGGGAGGCAGCAGUAGGGAAUUUUGCGCAAUGGGCGAAAGCCUGACGCAGCAACUCCGCGUGAAGGAAGAAGGCUUUCGGGUUGUAAACUUCUUUUGUCAGGGAAGAGUAGAAGACGGUACCUGACGAAUAAGCCACGGCUAACUACGUGCCAGCAGCCGAGGUAAUACGUAGGUGGCAAGCGUUGUCCGGAGUUACUGGGUGUAAAGGGCGUGUAGCCGGGUUGACAAGUCAGAUGUGAAAUCCUGCGGCUUAACCGCAGAACUGCAUUUGAAACUGGUGAUCGUGAGUACUGGAGAGGCAGACGGAAUGCCUAGUGUAGCGGUGAAAUGCGUAGAUAUUAGGAGGAACACCAGUGGCGAAGGCGGUCUGCUGGACAGCAACUGACGGUGAGGCGCGAAAGCGUGGGGAGCAAACAGGAUUAGAUACCCGAGUAGUC